rnacentral:rRNA from 1 species
AUUGAACGCUGGCGGCAGGCCUAACACAUGCAAGUCGAACGAGUGGCGGACGGGUGAGUAAUGUCUGGGCAACUGCACGCUGGAGGGGGAUAACUACUGGAAACGGUAGCUAAUACCGCAUACCAUCGGAUCUGCCCAGAUGGGAUUAGCUAGUAGGUGGGGUAAUGGCUCACCUAGGCGACGAUCCCUAGCUGGUCUGAGAGGAUGACCAGCCACACGGGAACUGGGACACGGGCCAACCUCCUACGGGAGGCAGCAGUGGGGAAUAUUGCACAAUGGGCGCAAGCCUGAUGCAGCCAUGGCGCGUGUAUGAAGAAGGCCUGCGGGUUGUAAAGUACGUUCAGCGAGGAGGCGGUACUCGCAGAAGAAGCACCGGCUAACUCCGUGCCAGCAGCCGCGGUAAUUC